rnacentral:sRNA from 1 species
GCCAGGUGUGGUGGUGCAUACCUGUAAUCCUAGCAACUUGGGAGGCUGAGGCAGAAGGAAUGCAAGUUCGAGGCCAGCUUGAGCAAUUUAGCAGGACCCCGUGUCAA